GACGAACGCUGGCGGCGUGCCUAAUACAUGCAAGUCGAACGCAGUGGGGACGGGUGAGUAACACGUGGGUAACCUCCAAUCAGAGGGGAGAACACUUGGACACAGGUGCUAAACCGAUACUGAUGGAUGGCCCCGCGGUGCAUUAGCUAGUUGGUGAGGUAACGGCUCACCAAGGCGACGAUGCAUAGCCGACCUGAGAGGGGGACCGGCCACUCGGGGACUGAGACACGUCCCAGACUCCUACGGGAGGCAGCAGUAGGGAAGCUUCGGCAAUGGACGAAAGCCUGCCCGAGCAACGCCGCGUGAGUGAAGAAGGUUUUCGGAUCGUAAAACUCUGUUGUUAGAGAAGCGGUAUCUAACCAGAAAGCCACGGCUAACUACGUGCCAGCAGCCGCGGUAAUUC
rnacentral:rRNA from 1 species